rnacentral:lncRNA from 1 species
GGUGCAGCCUGGGUAUGGCUUAGACUCUGGAUCACUUGAAGGUGGAUGGAUAGAGGGCGUUCUAAGAGGCUACUAGCUCUCCUUUGAACUAUGGACGUCUCCCUGAGCCUGUGGGUUGGCGCCAAGGAUGGUUUGCUACUCAAAGACACAAGAUCACCUUGUAUUGUCUAAGAUGGGAUUCACAGGAAUUCCUUCCUUUAAGUGAGAUCAAUGUUCUAGAGCUGAACAGAGAAAGCUAGAGACAAGACAACAAAGUUGGCUGAAUAAUUCUUAGAUUGAAAGUUGAGAAACAAAGCUGCCUCCCCCAUGUUCUUAAGGUAAAAAUCGAAAACCCUAAUACUAAACCAAGGUGGUUUAAUUCUAAUUCUAAUCCUAAUUGUCUUUGGUUUAAAUUAAAUGAAAGCCCAAUAACCAAACCCUUACAAAGUAAUUAAAUUAAACCAACAAGCUGGUUUAUCUUGAUCUCCUUGCCUUGAACCAAGGCCCACGGUUUUGGCUAUCUCCUGGAGCCUCUCCUCCUGUGCUCUCAGCCUUGAUCUGGUUACUGGUCCACUCCACAAGCUGGCUAGGUCAUUUGGUUCUUCUCUGCUCAAGUCUGGUUCUUCUCUGCUCAAGUCUGGUUCUUCUCUGCUCAAGUCUGGUUCUUCUCUGCUCAAGUCUGGCUCUUCUCUUCUCAAGUCUGGCUCUCCCUCAUCAGACUCACUCAGCUCUCCAAUGUCUCUACUCAUGGCUACACCAUCCCCUCCUCCUUUAAAAGGAUUUGACCUCAAAUCCAAAUCAUCUGCAAUAAAAGGAUCCAAGUCAGAAACAUUGAAAGUAGAACUGAUUGUGUAUUUCCCUUCAAGAUCAAUCUGGUAGGCAUUGUUGUUGAUUCUCUUCAGCACUUUGAAAGGUCCAUCUUUCCUUGGUAGCAACUUUGAUUUCCUCUCAACAGGAAACCUCUCUUUUUCAUGUGAAUCCACACAAGAUCACCCGGUUCAAGUACUAGCUCCUUGCGCCCCUUGUUCUUCUGCCUCUCAUACAUCUUGGUCCUCUCCUCAAUGUUCUUCCUGACCUGUUCAUGCAAAGACAAAACAAACUCGGCCUUUUGCUUGCCAUCAAGGUUAGUUUGUUCUUUUAAAGGUAAAGCAAAUAAAUCAAGAGGAGACAAUGGGUUAAACCCAUAAACAACUUGAAAAGGAGAGAGUUUAGUAGCUGAAUGCACUGCUCUGUUAUAUGCAAACUCUACAUGUGGUAAACAAUCCUCCCAUGUCCUAAUGUUACUCUUAAUGAUGGCACGCAAAAGAGUAGACAAUGUCCUAUUGACUGAUUCAGUUUGACCAUCAGUUUGGGGAUGACAAGUAGUUGAAAACAAUAGCUUAGUUCCCAACUUUCCCCACAGAGUUUUCCAGAAGUAGCUAAGGAACUUAGUAUCUCUAUCAGAAACUAUAGUCCUAGGCAUACCAUGCAAUCUAACAACUUCUCUAAAGAAUAGAUCAGCUACCAAAGAUGCAUCAUCAGUUUUAUGACAAGGUAUGAAGUGAGCCAUCUUAGAAAAUCUAUCAACAACCACAAAGAUGCUAUCUCUUCCUUUCCUAGUUCUAGGCAAUCCUAAGACAAAGUCCAUAGAGAUAUCAAUCCAUGGUGCAGUAGGAAUAGGGAGAGGUGUAUACAAACCUGUUGGUUGGACCUUAGAUUUGGCUUGCUUGCACACGACACACCUUGAGCACACACGCUCCACUUCUUUCUUCAUACUCGGCCAGUAGAAGUGCUCCUGCAAGGUGGAGAGUGUUUUGGCGACCCCAAAGUGUCCCAUCAGCACUCCUGCGUGAGCUUCCCUAACAUACAAUUCUCUCAAAGAACCACUAGGAACACACAGGCGGUUAUCAUAGAAAAGAAAUCCUUUUACUUGAUAGAAUUUUCCACUAGCAUGUUUCUCAGAUUCUCUAAACACAUCUUUAAACUCAGGAUCAUUAGCAUAGCAAGAUUUGAUGUGUUCAAAUCCUAAGAGUUUAGUUUCCAUUGAAGAUAAAAGAGUAUACCUUCUGGAGAGUGCAUCAGCCACUACGUUCUCCUUACCUUUCUUGUAGUGGAUGACAUAAGGAAAGGUCUCAAUGAACUCCACCCACCUGGCGUGUCUCUUGUUCAGCUUCUGUUGCCCUUUGAGAUGUUUAAGGGAUUCAUGAUCUGUAUGGAUCACAAACUCCUUAGGCCACAAGUAAUGUUGCCACACUUGUAAAGCUCUCACCAAGGCAUACAGCUCCUUGUCAUAGGUAGGAUAGUUUAAGGUGGCGCCUCCUAGCUUCUCACUGAAAUAAGCUAUGGGUUUCUUAUCCUGCAUCAACACAGCUCCAAUUCCAAUACCAGAUGCAUCACAUUCAAUUUCAAAAGUCUUAGAAAAGUCAGGAAGUGCAAGUAAGGGAGCACUUGUUAACUUCUCUUUUAGCAUUUGAAAUGCCUCUUCUUGUGCUGGUCCCCAAGUGAAACCUACACUCUUCUUGACUACUUCAGUCAGGGGUGCUGCAACUGUACUGAAAUCUCUCACAAACCUCCGGUAGAAGCCAGCAAGUCCAUGAAAACUUCUGACCUCUCCAAUAGAUUUAGGAAUCGGCCACUCCCUGAUAGCUUUCACCUUUUCCUCAUCAACCUGUAUGCCCUGUGAAGUCACAACAAAACCUAAAAAGACAAGGUUAUCUGUGCCAAAAGAGCACUUCUUAUAGUUAGCAUACAGAUUUUCUUUUCUAAGCACAUCUAGAACUUGCUUCAAGUGAUUAACAUGUUCUUUCAUAGUCUUGCUGUAAAUCAGGAUAUCAUCAAAGUAAACAACUACAAAUCGUCCUAUCAAAGCUCUCAAGACAUGAUUCAUUAAUCUCAUGAAAGUACUAGGUGCAUUAGUAAGCCCAAAAGGCAUCACAAGCCAUUCGUACAAACCUAGCUUAGUUUUAAAGGCAGUUUUCCACUCAUCUCCUUCUUUCAUUCUAAUCUGGUGGUAACCACUCUUUAAAUCAAUUUUAGAAAAGACACAUGAGCCAUGUAACUCAUCUAGCAUAUCAUCUAAGCGAGGAAUAGGAUGUCUGUACUUAACUGUUAUGUUGUUGAUGGCUCUGCAGUCCACACACAUCCUCCAGCUUCCAUCUUUUUUUGGCACCAAGAGGACAGGUACAGCACAAGGACUCAUACUCUCCCUGAUAUGCCCCUUCUCCAUUAGCUCAUUGACUUGUUUCUGAAGCUCCUUAGUCUCCACAGGGUUGGUCCUGUAUGCUGGACGGUUUGGUAAAGUAGCUCCUGGUACAAAGUCAAUCUGGUGCUCUAUUCCCCUAAUAGGCGGCAGACCUAUGGGAUUGUCCUCUGGGAACACAUCUCUAUACUCCUGCAAAAGACACUCAAUCUCCUCUGGAAUCUCAGGAGCAGGGUUAGUAGUAGAGCUCAACAAUUCUUUGUAAACUACUAGUAUCAAAUUUGAUUGUUCAAUCACAGCAGUUUUGAUAUCUUUAGCAGUAGCAAAGAGGUUGAGUUUACUUACCUGGCUGGUCUCUUCAAGAAGCAAGGACUUGCUGGCGGCCUUGGACUCUCCUCUCUUCAUUUUGAGAUGCAUCUGAUCCUGGUGUACCUCCUGAGGGGUCAUUGGCGCCAGGGUAACUUGUUUCUCCUUAUGGAUAAAAGUGUAUCUGUUGGUAAAGCCAUCAUGUACUGAUCUCUUAUCAUACUGCCAUGGACGUCCAAGAAGGAUGUGGCUAGCUUCCAGGGGUGCUACAUCACAAGUGAUCUCAUCCUGGUACUUUCCCACUGAUAGCAAUACCUUCACUUGCUUGGUGAUCUUUAAUCCUCCCUCAUCAUUGAUCCAUUGCAACAGAUAUGGCUUAGGAUGCUUGAACACUUGAAGACCCAACUUCUCCACCAACUCAGCACUUGCUACAUUAGUACAACUUCCUCCAUCAAUGAUCAAGCUACAAACCUUUUCUUGAAUCAAGCAUCUGGUGUGAAACAAGUUUUCCCUUUGCUCAUCUUCUUUGGUUUUAGGUUGAGCAUUGAGAAGUCUCCUGGUGACUAAUAGCUCUCCACGGACAGGGUACUCCACGCCUUCCUCAUCAGACUCUUGGCCGGCGUCCUCCUCUUCAGAUAUCACCUCCCCGUCGGCUAAGAUAGUCAUCACCUUCUUGUUGGUGCACUCAUUAGCAUAGUGACCAAAGCCAUGACACUUGAAACACUUAAUGUUCCUGGUCUUAGUAGGUGUGGCUACUCCUUUACCCUUGUCAUCUCUCUUGGUCUCCACUGAAGAAGAACCUUCUUUGGACUUAUCCCCUGGCUUAUCUUCCUUGGAGUAGGCCGGUUUUGAAGCAGGAGUGUAUGAAGACCGGGUAGAGCUCUUCCUCUUGUUCUGCUGCUCAAUCAAAAUAGCCUUAUGUAGCAGUUCAUCCAUGUCCUCAUACUCUUGUAGCUCCAACCUAUCUUGUAUAUCUCUGUUAAGACCUCCUUGGAAUCUAGCCAUAGUAGCUUCUACUUCUUCUUCUAAGUCAGCUUUCAACAUGAGUGUUUCCAUCUCCUGGUGAUAGUCCUCUACACUCUUAGAUCCUUGAGAAAGCCUUCUCAACUUCUGGUGUAGAUCUCUUCCAUAGUGAUUAGGAACAAAUCUCUUCUUCAUCACAGUUUUCAUCUCAAACCAUGAAGCUACCUGAGGCUCUCCAUUGCGUCUCCUGGUAGUAGCAAUCUGAUCCCACCAGCUAAUAGCAUAACCACAGAAUUCAGUAGCUGCUAGUCUCACUUUCCUCUCCUCAGUGAACUGUUGGCAAUUGAAAACCAGUUCAAUCUUCUUCUCCCACUCUAAGUAAGCAUCAGGAUCAUUCUUCCCAUGGAAUGGAGGGAUUCUAAGCUUGAGAUUGCCUAGGUUAUCAGUAGCUGGUCGCCUGCGGUUGUGAUUUCUACCAUGAUGACUAGCCUGAGAUCCAUCAUCACUUUCAUCAGCUGAAUCUUCUUGAUAAUGUUCUCCAUAAAUCCCACGACCCCUAAGCUCAACUCGUUGCCCUCUUAUAGGUCCAAUGCGUGCUCUCUGAGCUCCAGCAGCAACCGCGUCCCUCUCUUGCCCUGCAUUAUCACCAGGUAAAGUUUCAUUAGCUUGUUGAACACGGUUGUAAGUAUUUUGCAUUCUUCUGGUUAUCUCAGCUAUCAUAGCCUCAAAUUGAACUUGGUUGAGGUUGAUUUGCUGGACAGCCGGUUCUCCUGAACUCUCAGGUUGCUUUCCAUCUCGCCUCUCUUCACUCAUUGUUCCUGAAAUAGUUAGAGAAACACACAAAGCCAGGAACAAAUUAUAUCUCUCUCUCACUCAAGUUUUUCAAAUCGCCAAGUCUCAGCUCUUCCCACAAGUUCAGUUGAAAAACAAAGUUCUACACUUAAGAUCUAGAACUAAAACCCCAAUGAAUCAGAUAGGAAGUAUUAAGAGAUUUAGGCACCAGCUGACUUUACCACCCUGAGCUGGAUUUCUCCUCAGCUAGCUGGAUUACUCUUCAGCUAUAUAAUUUUUUUUUUGAUUUGGAUCAGAGAUCUCUUUUCUUUUUUUUUUUUUUUUUGAUUUGCAGGGUUGGCUCAGCUGGCUUACAACAGAUAGAAAGAUAAGAGAAGUGUGUUUGAUGGAAUGAAUGAUCUGAGUAGUCAAAUUGCAAACCCUAACCUUCAAGUGGCUCUGAUACCACUUGGUGCAGCCUGGGUAUGGCUUAAACUCUGGAUCACUUGAAGGUGGAUGGAUAGAGGGCGUUCUAAGAGGCUACUAGCUCUCCUUUGAACUGUGGACGUCUCCCUGAGCCUAUGGGUUGGCGCCAAGGAUGGUUGCUACUCAAAGACACAGAUCACCUUGUAUUGUCUAAGAUGGGAUUCACAGGAAUUCCUUCCUUUAAGUGAGAUCAA